UUUAGUCAGGUAAUAGCAUGUUAAAUGCACCAGUUCCAGACAGAUCACUGAAAUUAAGCAAUGUUGUAUGCGGUUGGUAUCUGGACAGGUGGCCAUCUGGGACACCAAAUGCUGCUGGUU
rnacentral:rRNA from 1 species